rnacentral:lncRNA from 1 species
GACUAAAAAUCUCUAGCAGAUAGCAGUAGAAUUUUAUUUUUUACUUUUCGGGUGUUGGAAUGACAUGAAACUUUAAAUAUAGCCUCAUAAAAAUAAUCCCGACAUAUUCCUAAAUUUUUAUAAUUUUCUGACACUGUGAAUUUUCUGCUAAAAUAUCAGCCCCGUUCCUUACAGAAAAUUCUAAAUCAUCUAUUUUCAUUCCAAUUUCAGCACAAGUCAUUUCCGACUUAUAUUUUACUUUAAAUCCAAUAGAAAUAGUAUUUUAUACUAUUUUUAUUUACACUUAAUUUUAUAUUAAAAUUCGGUGCAUUACAUUCUACCCCCCCUAAAAAAAAGUUUCGUCCUCGAAACUUCAAUCACACCUCAACUCGACCUAUCAAGCCAUUGAGGACAUCAACAUAAUUCCCCACUCGCUUCACACUUUU